rnacentral:rRNA from 1 species
GUGAACGCUGGCGGUAGGCCUAACACAUGCAAGUCGAACGGCAGCACAGUAAGAGCUUGCUCUUACGGGUGGCGAGUGGCGGACGGGUGAGGAAUACAUCGGAAUCUACUUUUUCGUGGGGGAUAACGUAGGGAAACUUACGCUAAUACCGCAUACGACCUACGAGUGAAAGCAGGGGAUCUUCGGACCUUGCGCGAUUGAAUGAGCCGAUGUCGGAUUAGCUAGUUGGCGGGGUAAAGGCCCACCAAGGCGACGAUCCGUAGCUGGUCUGAGAGGAUGAUCAGCCACACUGGAACUGAGACACGGUCCAGACUCCUACGGGAGGCAGCAGUGGGGAAUAUUGGACAAUGGGCGCAAGCCUGAUCCAGCCAUACCGCGUGGGUGAAGAAGGCCUUCGGGUUGUAAAGCCCUUUUGUUGGGAAAGAAAAGCAGCAGGUUAAUACCCCGCUGUUCUGACGGGACCCAAAGAAUAAGCACCGGCUAACUUCG